rnacentral:lncRNA from 1 species
AUGAUGAACUCAAAGGCCCAAAGCCUGGUCAUCUCGAACACGGAGGAGACGAUCGCAAAGGCCCUGCACUUACUGCAGAGCUUGAGCGAGAAUGUGACGGAGUUCAACCGUCGCUUCCAGGAGCGGGUCAACGACAAUGACCGGAACAUGUCGAUUGUCCUCGACAAAUUGAUACAUGAGAACAACAUAGAGAUCGCACUCACUUCUUUGGUGUAUUUCUCGAUCGAGACCCAGCACGCCAUCACGGAGUUCAGGAACGCCAUACAGACCUCCCUAAGUCGAGUUCUCUCGCCCAUCCUUAUCCCUUCUGAUGUCCUUAUCGAGAUUUUGGAGAAGAUUAGGAACUGCCUGGAGAAGCCUUUGGAGUUGAUCGUGCCUGGAACCCACUCGACUGUGCAUACUUAUUACGAGUUGUCAAAGGUGUCUUUAGGAGUCGUGGGCGAGGAGCUGAUAAUAACAGUGACGUUACCAAUUUCUGACGUUUCCGGACAAUUUCAAAUGUACAAAAUUGUGUCGAUACCAUGGCUUAUGAACAGAACAGACAUUUUUAUUCAGUGGGAGGUCGCAGACUACUUCAUCAUCGACGAAAGUCGAAAGUUCCACGCCGCCAUCACCUCGUCCCAAAGGGAGCAGUGUCAGGGCAAACAUAUUACAAUUUGCCCCAUCUCCACCGCCCUCUACACGGAGACGAGUCCCAUUUGCGAAUUCUCCCUCUUCAUGGGCGAGCACAAUCAACUCUGCAUGAAGACGGUUGACAAGCUGAAAAAUAACAUAAUCAAAUCAAUUCCGUCUGCGUGGGUUGUGUCCGUCGUGCAGCCAACCAGUCUGACCCUAAUCUGCCCGAACCACACAAUUUACAACGAAAAAGUCGAGGGGAGUUUCCUGAUAAAAAACGCAACCGAGUGCGAGAUUCUCAGUCGAUACUUCAAGCUCCAACGGGUCAUCGGAAAUAACAUGAGCAUUCAAGCGGACUUCAAACUUCUAGCCAUCCCCAAAAUCCACAUCCUGAACGAGGACGAGCGGAUCCAAGUCAUCGAUAUUGGAAUUGACGACAAGUUGACGGAUAAAAUCAAGUCGGUCAUCGAGCAGAAUGAAAAGGCAACUUCCUUUUCGGCCAUGCUCCACGAAGUGAGCAAGUACUACGAUGAGCCUUUCAUGGAGCCGAUGACGGCAUUUGCAGGAACCAUCAGUCUUUACUGUCUAGCUGUAGGAGUGAGCGUUUUUAUGCUGUUUUUUAAAUUCAGAAAAUAUUGAAGCUAUCUCAUCGCGGUACUCCUCAUGUUACAUUACAAGUGAAAAAUAUCGGGCAGAGCCCUCGAGAGGUGUCCGUCUAGUAUCAGUGGCCAUUUUGCAAGUUGGCAACACCGUUUUCCUUCCAUUUGAAUCCAUGAAAAUAUCGAUAUUAAAUGAGGCCAGCUGCCUCACUAGGAAUCGAUUGUUUUACAUUUAUUCAAAUGGAGGAGAAAAUAAUGUUGCAAACUUUCAAGAUUAGUAAUACUGUCACGAUCGUUGCCAAAUUUAGUUUGAUACAACAUAACUAUGCCAAAAACUAGUUAAUUUUGUCUAAUUUUCAAGAAAAUUUUCUCCGCAGUUUGAAUGUAAUUAUCUGGAAAUUUCAAGGAAAUAUAUUUAAAACUUUCCUCAGAAACAAAUAUUAUGUCGAAAAUAAUUUGAACAAAUGCGAAAUUUCAUACAUUGUUUUUCCACAGCGCGGCAUAAUAGAGUUCAGUGUUUCAAUAGACUUUUAAACCUUUCAUCCUCGCCAAGGGUUUAAAAAAGAAAAUUAGUGCAAUGAAUGAUUUUCUGUGUGGAAUUGAACCGUAUUCUAUCCAAUUCAAUUCAGUUUUUGAAAGAUGAGAGAACCAUGUUUUAUCGGCUCCUUCCAACGAGUCUUUCUCAAAUAAAAUGUAAAUGGAAAGAACUCUUAAGAAUAACCAUACUUAGAAGAAUGCGAACACUGUGGUACCAUAAUUCAAAAUUUCAAAUCUCUAAAUAAUUCCAACUCAAAAAAGAAAAAUUCCACUUGAUGAGUUGUUGAGUCGGUAGCUUUGAAAUGCUUGAGGCCGAAAUUCAUAAAAUAAGGUGUUUACUGGGGGCUCUUGAUUAAUAAUUUUGUUCAAAAUUGAAACUUUGGAAAUAGAGUGUCUACUACAGUAAUUAUUUUACUCCAUUUGCUAUGAUAUUUCCAAAUAUUAUCCGCAACAUUUAAGCCAGACGGACUUCUCUCUAAAAUAAUCACACAUUUUUUAUUUUUAAAUAAGUAAAGAAAAAAUCGCAUCAUUUAACCGUCAUUUAUUAAUUGACCUUUUUUCUUCAAAAAGUGUCAUGUUUUAAGGAUACUGCGAAUCGUUGUCUUGCUCUUUUAUUCAACACCUGUAACUGAAAGUUUAAUAUCCACAGAUCGCCUUCCCUUAGCAAGAUAUACAGCAUUCUCAUCAGGAUGUUCGAUAAGUUACAUACCUUCCAAAUUGAAGGCGCUUUAUAACUCGCGUAGAAUCCGUGAUUUUACAGUAACCCCGAUGAAUAAGGCAGGCAUGAUACUGCAAAGAAUGCUUACAUUACAGUUGCAUCAAGUGUGAGAUGAAAGUGUCUCUCAAUUUUUCAAAAUAAUUUUGUCUUAAAAUACAAGAUCUUAUAGUCGUAUGGUAACGUAGAGUAAUAAGGCAAAUAGAAAAAGCUAAAAACAUCAUAAUAAUAAACUAAAGUUAAAGUGCCAAACUUCCCUGGAACCUUUCAUUUCACUGUGUCAUUCACUAGAUGAAUCCAACAGUUUGUAACCGCUAUUUAACAAUCUAAUACAUUUUGAUUUAUUUGCAUGAAAUCACAACUACAAGGCAUCACAAACGUAUUGCUCCACGUUUGUCCUAAUCUCAUAGCAGAAUUUUCCGACUCGUUAUAGUAGGAUACAGAACACAUAAUUUAAUUUCCAGUUUUUUAAUAUGAAAGCAUUUACAUAAUUUACUGUACUUCAUACAUAAAAUAAUUUCUCUCGGCAAAAUCAAAUGCUUUAAAUCUUCUACCUUUAGGAUCUGCAGUUCAGUAAAUUUUACAAACAAAUUAUUUGUUCAUGAGCCAACAGUCUUCUAUUUGAAUUGUGGGAUAUGUUAAAUGACAUAAUAUUGUAAUAAGGAGAUAAAAAGUCCAUUUUAUGAACGUAUACAGUAACAUUUGAUCUGGACUUUAAGAGAUAGCGUUGAUAGUCUACGAAUUGAAUUCUGAACGUCCAUUUUUUGCAAUAUUGAUAAGAUUGCAAGAUUAUAGAGGAAAAGAGAAGUUCAAUAAAAUGGUGAGUAUAAUAUAAUCCUACAAAUUGAAAGAGAAAUAGCCAGGACAUUUCAGUCUAACAACGUGCCCAUUCUCAACUCAAAAAAGGAGAAAAAAGAAAAGAAAAACAACUUGAAAUAAAACCAAAACACAUGAUAAGCAUCCAACUGGUCAAGGAUGACAUCAACACUGUCGUUUGCUCUAAUUCUCACCUCGUUAAAUCACAAGCUCGUUCCGUCUUUUAAUUUUUAUUUUCAACUUUAGUUCCAGUUGCGAGUGGGCAUAUGAUUUGCCCGAGACGCCCUGACUGUGUAUAUGUCCAUAUUUUAGUCCUGUGAUAAUAAUUAUUCGAGUCAUUUCUCAGUAUGUUUCCCUUUUAUUUUAUUGUUGAACCGGGCUAUUAUAUCAUGUUUUUCCUAUCACGUUAGGGAAUUUCAUUUGAAAUAAUCAGUGCCUUCAUAUUUAAAAAAAUGUCACGAUAAUUGUUAUCGAUCUUUCAUUUCAUCAGACUCCUUCAAUUUGAAAAUAAAAUAUCAAUCACGAGACAAAUAAAAUUAUUCACAGCAUGAAUCCUCGUCUGCAAUGCUGAUUUUGUCCAUUUCUGAUAUUCAUACGCAGUAUCUAAAAAAAUUUCCAUGUUGAAAAGCAUUAGAGCAUUCCACUCAUUGAGUUCAAUACAUAUUUUUCACACAAAAAUCUGCAUUUCCUUACUAAGAGGUGUAUUCUAAAUCACAUGCUGAAUUAAUGCAUUAAAAAAUGAAACGAGUCCAAAAGUAAUAUAUUACAGAAUUCAAAAACAACCCCUACCCACACUACAUACAUGUCGGAGGUAAAUAGUCAAAUCAGGCAUUUUACCAAAUGCCCAGGCAGAUACUCAACUUUUCAGUGUUUACAAGGUUUCUUAUGUUUUCACAAAUACCUCUCUAAUUUUCAAUAUUUUGAGACUAAAAAUCCGUCAAAGUAGUAACAGUCAUUUAAUUUCCCGUUCAAAAAUGCUCCUCAUAAUUCUUCAACCGCCCAAAUUGUGAAAAAAAAUUAUUUUACGAAAUGCUGCAUGUUUGAGAUAAAUUUGCAUUAAGGACCAGAAAGAACGUAUUUAUUAUCGUAUGGCACAUGUCUUUAAAGGGAAUUCAUUUCCACAUAAUCAAGGAAUUAUUUUGUCUACAGUCAGCAAAGUAAUCAGAAUUUCAGUCUAAGUAAGAAUAUUUGACUAUUUGCCAAGGCAUUUAAGAAAAUGCCUGAUUUGACUAUUUGCCUUCGACACAUGGACGUAUUUAUGCUAAAAGGAUUUAUGUUACACGCCAACCCUAUGCUCAUAGUUCCUUUUAGCAUAUAUAAGUCCAUAUAUACUCACCCUCCUAGACGUGCAUGUAGAUUGGGCAAAAACCAAUCGAAGGAGAGUCGACCAUAGAAAAGAAGUUGGAGGCAAUACAAUUACCUCUCCGCAUCUGGUAUUCGUGCGGUGGGAACAUUAAGCCGGGCGGAAGAUGAAAAAAGUAAUGUUUCACUCGAAAAUACUAUGACGCAGCGGUGAGAUUCGACGUGUAUUUUUGCGAAACUGCCAAACAGUUUAUUUGAUGACUCGCUCGCAUGCACGAUGGACGGGGCACGGGAGCAGCGCACUGAUGCCUGGAUGUAAUAAUGAAAAUGAAAUUAAGUUAAACCGUCGGUAAGCAGGUUCGCUCGCUUUUCAGUAAGGUCCGCGAGGAAGUUAUUAGCUGCGAUUAAAUCAAGGCAGGUUCCAGGCAAUAUGUGAGCAUUUAUACGUAUAUGAAUAAAAUUAUUUUGAGAAAUCACUAUUUUGCGUGCUGUUGCAAUAUUUAUCUUA